AUUCUGCACGAUGGAAUAUAGACCUGUGUGUGGAUCAGAUGGCAAGACUUACAGUAACCCGUGCAUGCUGAGAGUAGCUGCCUGCAACCAGAACAAGACCAUCACAGAAACUGACUUCUCUAAAUGCGGUGCAAUUAAUCAGCCAUAAUCGAUGCAAUAAAAUUGAAGAAUCUUGACGCGACCUAAUUUUACAUUCUUUUGUCUUAUUGGUGUUAAGUAACAUUUGAAGCGCUAUAGCCACCAUGUUGGAUAAAUAAAGAACAAAURUAUUUUUAGAUUUUUAGAUCUUCAACGUAGCAAUGCUCAUUAAGUUUCACAGCUUUUUGGAGUCUUUAGAUUUUACUGUAUUAGCCAACUAGAUAACCAAUCUAUCAUCUACCAAACUUCUAACUCUUUUCCAAAAUACAUUAAUCAAGUAUUAAUAGCAAUAACUUUCAUAGCAUUUUUGAAUAUAUUGAGAAGUGAAGGGACCAAGAGGUAACCUGUGGGACGCCACAGYGAGCAUCGAAACCUGGCAUAAUUCGUUGACAUUUCGAUGAUUAUCUUACACGUUCAGCAUAAAAGCGAAGUAGCAAGUAACGUCUACUGAUUUUUAUCAUAAAGUUCAACAACUUCUGAAAUUUUGGCCCUCAGUUUUUACUUGAAAAGAAGCGAGAAGACAAAAGCGAUAAUGAUCAAACACAUUGAAGUGUGAACUUUUAUAGCUGAGCUUGGCGGAGCWSCUGCAAGUAAGAAAGAUGAUAUUUUGUUCAAGUUUGUUAAAAAUAAAAGCAAAAUAUGUAUUGUGUUAA